CCCAGCUAUGAACCAGGAUCCUCAUAUCCGUGAGCUUGGUUUCGUUGAUAAUAAUCUCCUCCUUCACCACCCACUUGAUUCCUCUGCUUCUUGUUCUCCCUCACAGCCCUUCACCCUCGAACCUCACCCUUUCUUGCCCCCUAAGCCUUGCUUCUCUUCUCUCCUCUGCAACAGCCCCUUUGAUUUUGCCUCCGAAACUGCUUUUCAGCCGAAUCAGACCCC
rnacentral:lncRNA from 1 species